rnacentral:rRNA from 1 species
UACGUAGGGGGCAAGCGUUGUCCGGAAUCAUUGGGCGUAAAGAGCGUGUAGGCGGUCUGUCGCGUCGGAUGUGAAAAUCCAGGGCUUAACCCUGGACCUGCAUUCGAUACGGGCAGACUAGAGUUCGGUAGGGGAGACUGGAAUUCCUGGUGUAGCGGUGAAAUGCGCAGAUAUCAGGAAGAACACCCGUGGCUAAGGCGGCUCUCUAGUACGGUACUGACGCUGAGACGCGAAAGCGUGGGGAGCGAACAGG